rfam:Exophiala mesophila strain CBS 40295 unplaced genomic scaffold supercont1.5, whole genome shotgun sequence.
GGGGGAUUGGCGCAAUGGUAGCGCGUGGCUCUCCUAUACUGGUAAAUUGAUUUUAUCAUUUCUCAGUGGUCAUCAAAGCCAAGGUUGUGGGUUCGAGUCCCAUGUCUCUCG